CUCAGUUCGGAUUGGAGUCUGCAACUCGACUCCAUGAAGCUGGAUUCGCUAGUAAUCGCGCAUCAGCCAUGGCGCGGUGAAUACGUUCCCGGGCCUUGUACACACCGCCCGUCAAGCCAUGGGAGCCGGUAAUACCCGAAGUCAGUAGUCCAACCUCGUGAGGACGCUGCCGAAGGUAGGAUUGGCGACUGGGGUGAAGUCGUAACAAGGUAAC
rnacentral:rRNA from 1 species